rnacentral:lncRNA from 10 species
AGAUGGGGUUUCACCAUGUUGCCCAGGCUGGUGUCAAAUCCCUGGGCUCAAGUAAUCUGCCCACCUCGACCUCCCAAAGUGCUGGGAUUGCCUGCGUGAGCCCCAUCCCCGGCCUGCUCAUUUCCUUCUAGUGCUGAAGAAUAUUCCGAUGUCUGGAUAGACCACAGUUUGUCUGUCCACUCACCUCUAGGCAGACAUCUUGGUUGCUUCCAGUUUUUAGUGACGGUGAAUAAAACUGCUCUAAACAUUCGUGUGCAGGUGUUGGUGUGAACAUAAGUUUUCAACUCAUUUAUCGAGUGGCUGCACCGUUUUGCAGUUCCGCCAGCAACGCAUGAGACUUCCUGUUGCCGCACGCCCACCCCGGCAUUUGGCGUUGUCAGUGUUUUGGAUUUUGGCCAUUCUUA